rnacentral:lncRNA from 1 species
AAAACUUUGCUUCCCACAUAUUUUUUUUUGCUUCCAUCAAAUACAAUGGUUUCCAUGGUAAAAAUAAGUUUUCUUCAACAGAACAUAAGUUUGUUUCUUGCUUCAUCCCUUCAUACUCUUAAGUUUAAAGCGUGAUACAAAAUUAUUUCCUUCCAAGUCGCCAAUAUUACGUUCGCUGCUUCUAAAUGAAUAUCUUAUGUUUCCUAUAGGUCAUCCUCAUUCUAGGCCAGAUCAAUGUGUCAUCACACUUCUAGGUGCAUGCAUCGGUCACCUCCAUAUACAGGCAGUUCCCAUCAGCUCCAAAUCUAGCACACAACUUCUCAAAGCAUAUGUCACCAAAUAUAUGAAAUAUAUGAAGCGUGACGACAGUGUUUGAAUGCAAAUAAUGCUCUUGACAAUGUAAAAAAAAUAUAGAAAAAGGUAGAAGUAUGUUUAUAUUGCUGUAAGCUAUAUGAAAUAAAGGAAACAUAAGAUAAAUUUAGGAAGCAUGGCGGGGAUACUAAGAAGCAUCAAUUACUUGUUAUCUCGACAUAACUUAUACCUAGUGGAAGCAUAGAAUAUUCUAACUAGAAACUAGUAACGAAUGUUAACAACAUAUGUGUGCACCAAUCAUUUUGUGAUCUACAAACCAAUUUCAUCCAUCGAUGCAAACAAACUGGAAUGCCGAAGCACAUGUAUGAUGCUUAUGAAGCAUGGAUAGAGAAUAACCAGUAUGUGUAAUUAGAUGAUGAUGGAACGGCGGGUGCUUCAUGUAAUGCAAUACCUUUGAUUGGGAGGCAAGGCGAGGAGGGGAAAGUAUCCAAUCUGAUGUUUCUUCGGCCGUCGGGUGGUACUCCGGCACUUAGUUCAAACCUCCUAGCAACCUGGUGAGGCAACAAACGUGGUGGAUAUGGUGGGAACGGCCACCUAAUGCUGGAAUGACACACUUGUCAAUUGGGAUGUCGCCAGGGGAAGUAGGUUGGCACAGUUCCAGAUCCACACAUGGGGUCGGAUCUGGGCGGUGUAGUCAACUGCAGCGUUGGUCAUGGAUUGGAUCUUCGGCGCGAGGUGGAAAGGAAGCAAUGGCACGUCGGACGUAAAAUCUGGGUGCUUCAAUAGAGGACAGGGGCAGCAUGGUUGACGGCGAAGGGAGGUCCGACGAGAGAUGAGAGAUGAAUGGAGGUCUGGAAGAGAUGCAACAUGAGAGGGAUUAGGGGGAGUAAAAGAUGAGAGGGAUU